rnacentral:rRNA from 1 species
GACGAGUCUCACGAACGUUAUUCGGAAUUACUGGGCUUAAAGGGUGCGUAGGCGGUGGAGUAAGUCGGAUGUGAAAUACCUUGGCUUAACUAGGGAACUGCACUCGAUACUACUUUGCUAGAGUAAGACAGAGGUGAGUGGAACUGAGGGUGGAGCGGUGAAAUGCGUUGAUAUCAUCAGGAACACCGGUGGCGAAAGCGGCUUACUGGGUCUCUUCUGACGCUGAGGAGCGAAAGCGUGGGGAGCAAACAGG